rnacentral:misc_RNA from 1 species
GCAAACUUGGUCAUUUAGAGGAAGUAAAAGUCGUAACAAGGUUUCCGUAGGUGAACCUGCGGAAGGAUCAUUAUUGAACAAUCAAACCAAUGUGGAUUAGUUGUAGCUGGUCUCUCGGGGCAUGUGCACGCUUUUCUGCAAUUGUUCUCCAUCCACCUGUGAACAUUUUGUAGAUUUGCGAGGGAUAGAAAGAAGGGUAACCUUCUGACGAAGACUCGCGGUCUAUGUUUUAUAAACACUAAUGAAAGUCUAAGAAUGUCUUGUUAUAUUCAAACAUAAAUAUAACUUUCAGCAACGGAUCUCUUGGCUCUCGCAUCGAUGAAGAACGCAGC